CAAUAGCGUAUAUUAAAGUUGUUGCAGUUAAAAAGCUCGUAGUUGGAUUUGUGGCGUACGGUGUGUUCCGGGCACUUGUUGUCUGAGUAACCUGCUGUUGCCAUCCUUGGGUGGAACCUGUGUGGCAUUAGGUUGUCGUGCAGGGGAUGCCCAUCAUUUACUGUGAAAAAAUUAGAGUGUUCAAAGCAGGCUUAUGCCGUUGAACAUAUUAGCAUGGAAUAAUGAGAUAGGACUUUUUUGCUAUUUUGUUGGUUUGCGCAAAGAGGUAAUGAUUAAUAGGGACAGUUGGGGGUAUUCGUAUUCCAUUGUCAGAGGUGAAAUUCUUGGAUUUCUGGAAGACGAACUACUGCGAAAGCAUUUACCAAGGAUGUUUUCAUUAA
rnacentral:rRNA from 1 species